CCAAGCUUCCUCUUGUUAGUUAAUAUGUGGCCCCAUUGCAAACAGAAUCCCGUGUUAUGCUUUGAAGGAGUCUGAGUAUGGGGCCGUAGGAAGAAGAUUCAGGCUCAGAUGGAGUUGUGCUACUCACUGAGGCACUCCUGGAGUGGUGAGUGGGAAGAGAAACAGAAGUGUCCAAGCACAGACAGAGCAAGGACUCCAUGCCAGAAAGUUUGGAAUUGUGGAUCUAGAUAGCAUUUGCAGUUGACUUCACCCUGUGACUCAGAGAUAAUCCACAUGGUAAUAAUUUCAUUUUGUGUUUCUGUCUCUAUGAGUCUUAAAAUGCAGAAACUUUUCUCACUUAUACAUUGAAAUUCAUCCACCUAAUUGCUCAAGAAUCAUCCAGUAUUACUUUGCAAAUGUUCACAUUAACAUGGGAAGGUUCUAUGCCCCAGUAUAGGGGAAUGCCAGGGCCAGGAAGCAGGAGGGGUUGGGUUUGGGGAGCAGUGGGAGUGGAGAGGAGAUAGGGG
rnacentral:lncRNA from 1 species